UAUUUUUGAAAAGAGAUUAAAUUGAUCCAUUAAACAUGUAAGAAUGGGAAUGACAGUAAGGAGCUGCCAUGUGGAUACACUUCUGGACCGAAAAAGAUACAAGAGCCCUCGUUGAAAACAGUACUGCAACUGUGACAUGACAUCUGCUAUUUCUCCUCCAUCCAUAAGGCCUUUACCUCGGAGCCUCUCCUGUUAGAUCAUUCUUCUUGUAGACAUGAUAACGGUUUUACAGGUUAUGACCAUAAGUUCCUAAGGAACUGGUGCAGCCAGGAUCUGUUGUACUUCCGAGUCCUGUAGCACAGAUAAAAGGAAAGUCAAACAGAGGAAAAUAAAGGGAGAGACAGAAUUUAAGGUAAAACUAACCAGAAACAGAACAACUUGGAUCCAGGCUUCCCCCUUCCUUCAGAUGCCAGAGACUGAUCCCUUUACAUAAACUGAAACGUAAGAAACUCAACAUGCCACUUAUCCUGGAUUAAGAGAACCAUCUGCAAACUACAGUAUCCUCAGUUGUGGAGUGAUCAUGGUUGGAAAGUGUAGUUUCUAAACAUUAUCAGUCUGGCUUUCAUGAAUCUGAAUGCUGUUUUACUACAUAAGUGUGCAUCCAACCCUAACCAUUCCAUGAUUCUAUUAUUAUAUAUUUAAGCUGCAAUUUAAAUUUAAAAUCCAAUUUCAGUAAUUAACAGAAGAAACUGGCGAACUGAUGGAAAAUUUCAGGUGAGAUCUAAACACAUGACUGAAGAAGCAACUGAAGCAAGUACCUUCAAGUGAUAUAGAAAAAUAAUAGGUAUUUGUUUUUCUUUAUUGACGGUGAAAGCUCUUGUUCAGUAUUGCUUAUUUGCAAGAAUAUGUUAGUGGCAGAAAUACCGGGACAUUGAGAAGCAUAUGUUCAAAGAUAAAAUCUAGGAUUAACUUCUGAGAAAUCUUAAAUGCUCCAUUUUUUUUCUGCAAUAAUAUAUUUUGUGUAACUAGAUUUAUUUUUCAGUCAGAUCCAAAUAAGCAAAGGCUAACAAAUACAGCAUAUUUCAACUUUAUGGUGGCUCAAGUCACCUCUUUCAAUCCCUAAAAUACUGACUAUCUGGGUCUCAGUAUGCAUAUUAGAAAUGACCUUGUAUCUUCAGCCUGGAGAUCAAACCUCCACUCAUAUCUAAUUUUGUCAUACUUCUUUUUCCAUAAGACCUUAAGUCUUGAAACUGCCAAACUUCAUUCAGCUACAAAGAGAUUAGACAAUUUUUAACCUUGCAAAAAAUCAAAUGUGGGAUAUCUGGGUGAAUACAAAAUUCAAAUUUAUAAUUAAAUGUGUAGACAGAACUGGCCUGAACCACUAUUUUUACUGGGCAUUGUGUAUUGGGGUAAAAAAUAAAUCAGCGACUUCUGAAUCUGUAGCACCGAGUAUGAAAACUGAAGACAAGACAGAAGAUUUCAUAUUUCUUUUCAAAUACUUUUAUGUCUGAAUGUUCCACUGUUGGUAACCUUGUGGUAUACCUAGAAUUAAGAUAAAAACAAAGUUUAAUCAAAGUAAUUCUGAUUUGAAAUUUUCAUCUUUAGCUUCAACAAAUGUACACAGAAAACCUCAUUCCUCCUACAGAAGAAUAACAGCAUCUCACUAAUUUAAGUAAAAGCUGUCUUUGUUGAAGGAAAAGAGGUUGCUUUACCAAAAUAACCGAGAUUGAUAUGAUUUUUCAAAAGAAUAAGGAAUUGCACUGUAAAUAGACAUACUUGAAAUUUCAAAUAUCACUGGUAACCAAAGUCAUAAUCU